rnacentral:rRNA from 1 species
GGGUCAGUAGGUUGGUCGUGCCACCGGUACGUACUGGUCUCACUGAUUCCUCCUUCCUGAGGAACCGUAAUGCCAUUAAUUUGGUGUUGCGGGGAAACAGGACUGUUACUUUGAAAAAAUUAGAGUGUUUAAAGCAAGCUAACGCUUGAAUACAUUAGCAUGGAAUAAUGAAAUAGGACGAUCGAUCCUGUUUUGUUGGUUUCUAGGAUUGACGUA